GACGAACGCUGGCGGCGUGCCUAAUACAUGCAAGUAGAACGCACAGUUUAUACCGUAGCUUGCUACACCAUAGACUGUGAGUUGCGAACGGGUGAGUAACGCGUAGGUAACCUGCCUGGUAGCGGGGGAUAACUAUUGGAAACGAUAGCUAAUACCGCAUAAUAUUAAUUAUUGCAUGAUAAUUAAUUGAAAGGUGCAAUUGCACCACUACCAGAUGGACCUGCGUUGUAUUAGCUAGUAGGUGAGGUAACGGCUCACCUAGGCGACGAUACAUAGCCGACCUGAGAGGGUGAUCGGCCACACUGGGACUGAGACACGGUCCAGACUCCUACGGGAGGCAGCAGUAGGGAAUCUUCGGCAAUGGACGAAAGUCUGACCGAGCAACGCCGCGUGAGUGAAGAAGGUUUUCGGAUCGUAAAGCUCUGUUGUAAGAGAAGAACGGGUGUGAGAGUGGAAAGUUCACACUGUGACGGUAUCUUACCAGAAAGGGACGGCUAACUACGCG
rnacentral:rRNA from 1 species